rnacentral:rRNA from 1 species
GACAGAGGAUGCAAGCGUUUAUCCGGAAUUACUGGGCGUAAAGAGCUCGUAGGUGGUUUGUCGCGUUGUUCGUGAAAACUCACAGCUCAACUGUGGGCGUGCGGGCGAUACGGGCAGACUAGAGUACUGCAGGGGAGACUGGAAUUCCUGGUGUAGCGGUGGAAUGCGCAGAUAUCAGGAGGAACACCGGUGGCGAAGGCGGGGUCUCUGGGCAGUAACUGACGCUGGAGGAGCGAAAGC